GUGACCUUAAUAAAAACGAUGUUUCCUGUAUGACAGAGGAAAGAAAACCCUCCUCAUUUCUCAUCACCGAAAAAGAGUCAAUCAAGUUAUUUCCAAUUAGGCUCAGAAUAAGGUGAAACGUUUUCAAGGUAUCCAGAACACUGCUUCAGUAAAUUCAGCAAAUUAUCGAGCCACGUGAGUUUGUUUUGGAUGCCUUUGAAAUUUAAGGCUGUGUUAAUUUAUCCUGUAAGAUUUAUUUCAGUUGUAAUCUUAGUUUUGAAAUGAAGAAGUUCAUUUUGGGUCUUGAAACGGUUGUCAUUCAUUUUACCUUGUCUAUAAGUCAGAAAAUUAUGAAUGUGUUUUCCUGUAUGUUUUCCCCAUUUCUCAUUUAGAUGAGUCAGUGAUGAAACACUGAAUUUAUGUAGUUUGACUGUGAAUGCCUAUAAAAAAAAACCACUCCAAAAUGCUCAGAGCAUGCAGAAUUAGUGCUGGUAUGUACGAUUGCUCCUGCAGAAGUAUUCUAUAUUCAUCCUUAAUGCAGCAGGCUCAGGCAUAACUAUGUUUUAUCACUGGAAUCUGUUAUCAGGCUGCUGUCAGUGACGGGUUCUUGAAUUCAGUCCCUUAAGCUGGAUCG
rnacentral:lncRNA from 1 species